rfam:Halococcus morrhuae DSM 1307 contig_70, whole genome shotgun sequence.
GUGGGAACAGCACGGCCGCAAAUCCGACUCGUCCACGUGGACUCCGAGAUUGCGGUAGUGU